UACAGAGGGUGCAAGCGUUAAUCGGAAUUACUGGGCGUAAAGCGCGCGUAGGCGGCUUGACAAGUCGAGUGUGAAAUCCCCGGGCUUAACCUGGGACCUGCAUUCGAAACUGUCUUGCUAGAGUAUGGGAGAGGGAAGUGGAAUUUCAGGUGUAGCGGUGAAAUGCGUAGAUAUUGGGAGGAACACCAGUGGCGAAGGCGGCUCACUGGACCGGAACUGACGCUGAGGCGCGAAAGCGUGGGGAGCAAACGGG
rnacentral:rRNA from 1 species